GCCUGAAUAGCUUAUAUUGAGAGCUUGACAUUGAAGAUGUUAUGGAGAUUUAUUAAUCUUUAGGUA
rnacentral:tRNA from 1 species